rnacentral:rRNA from 1 species
UCAGUCGACUCCUACGGGGAGGCAGCAGUGGGGGAAUAUUGCACAAUGGGCGCAAGCCUGAUGCAGCCAUGCCGCGUGUAUGAAGAAGGACCUUCGGGUUGUAAAGUACUUUCAGCAGUGAGGAAGGUGGUAGUGUUAAUAGCACUAUCAUUUGACGUUAGCUGCAGAAGAAGCACCGGCUAACUCCGUGCCAGCAGCCGCGGUAAUACGGAGGGUGCGAGCGUUAAUCGGAAUUACUGGGCGUAAAGCGCAUGCAGGUGGUUUGUUAAGUCAGAUGUGAAAGACCCGGGGCUCAACCUCGGAAUUGCAUUUGAAACUGGCAGACUAGAGUACUGUAGAGGGGGGUAGGAAUUUCAGGUGUAGCGGUGAAAUGCGUAGAGAUCUGAAGGAAUACCGGUGGCGAAGGCGGCCCCCUGGACAGAUACUGACACUCAGAUGCGAAAGCGUGGGGAGCAAACAGGAUUAGAUACCCUGGUAG